rnacentral:rRNA from 1 species
GAUGAACGCUGGCGGCGUGCCUAAUACAUGCAAGUCGAGCGAAGCGGGGACGGGUGAGUAAUACGUGGAUAACCUCCUAUAAGACUGGGAUAACUUCGGGAAACCGUAGCAAAACCGGAAACUUAUAGAUGGAUCUGCGCUGCAUUAGCUAGUUGGUAAGGGAAUGGCUUACCAAGGCAACGAUGCAUAGCCGGCCUGAGAGGGUGAUCGGCCACACUGGAACUGAGACACGGUCCAGACUCCUACGGGAGGCAGCAGUGGGGAAUAUUCCGCAAUGGGCGAAAGCCUGACGGAGCAACGCCGCGUGAGUGAUGAAGGUCUUCGGAUCGUAAAGCUCUGUUAUUAGGGAAGCGGUACCGAAUCAGGAAGCCACGGCUAACUACGUGCCAGCAGCCGCGGUAAUUC